AUUGAACGCUGGCGGAAUGCUUUACACAUGCAAGUCGAACGGCAGCACGGACUUCGGUCUGGUGGCGAGUGGCGAACGGGUGAGUAAUGUAUCGGAACGUGCCCAGUCGUGGGGGAUAACGUAGUGAAAAUUACGCUAAUACCGCAUACGAUCUAUGGAUGAAAGCGGGGGAUCGCAAGACCUCGCGCGAUUGGAGCGGCCGAUAUCAGAUUAGGUAGUUGGGGGGGUAAAGGCCCACCAAGCCAACAAUCUGUAGCUGGUCUGAGAGGACGACCAGCCACACUGGACCUGAGACACGGUCCAGACUCCUACGGGAGGCAGCAGUUGGGAAUUUUGGACAAUGGGCGAAAGCCUGAUCCAGCCAUUCCGCGCGCAGGAUGAAGGCCCUCGGGUUGUAAACUGCUUUUGUACAGAACGAAAAGGUUUCUACUAAUACUAGGAGCUCAUGACGGUACUGUAAGAAUAAGCACCGGCUAACUACGUGCCAGCCGCCGCCGUAA
rnacentral:rRNA from 1 species